CCCAGGUUUUUUGAGCCGUUUUACCUUAUUGGUCCAGAAAGAGAAUAUCGAUAGUGAGUUCAACCUAUUACCUACCCGUCCCAUCCCCAACCCACCCCCCCCCCACUGGUUCCAUCUAUCACUGAAUAGCCUCUAUUCCACCCUGCUUUAUCCUGCUAUAUUCUGGCACUCGCUCCUCUCUCUUGGUCCUGCAGGAUCUCAACCCAAACCGUUCACUUGCACCUUUUGCCUUCACAGCUGCAGCUUGACCUGCUGAGUCCUCCCAGUGUGCUGUCUGUUCCAGAUUCCAGCAUCUGCAAUCUCUUUUGCCUUCAAACCACUGAUCGAGCCAGUGAUUGAGAUGGAAGGCACUGGUAUACUCAAGAACAUUCAAAGUUGCCUUUAGGUCAAGGAGCAUGAGGAAGGAUAGUGUAUCUUUAAUACAAUUGCACAGGAUUACUUUUUCCCUAUAUUCGUUCCUCUGGUCUCACACUUCAUGCCUCGUCUACCCUUAUUUCAUGGCUUUGUCCCACCCCACCUCUCUUCCAGCUUUCUCCUACAAUCAGUCUGAAGAAGGGUCCCGACCCGAAACAUCAUCCAUCCAUGUUCUCCCGAGAUGCUGAGCUACUCCAGCAUUAUAUGUCCUGUUUGUAAUACCAGACAUCGGCAGUUCCUUGUGUCCAUAACAUUUGUAUUUACUGUUCAAUCUCUCUUGUGCCAGUGUAUGAAAACCGACUGGGAAUAUUUUUAAAUGGCAGAAAUGCCGAAAAGGUGCCUAUUUCAAUCCAUUUUAAUUUUUGAACAAUAUUUUGAUAUUUUAGAAAAACCAUAAACGUGUAUUCAUAGUAAAUAUAUGAGGACAUCGAAUGAAAUCUAUCAAAUGUCGAACUUCAAUUUCGCUGCUGAGGUUCACAGCAUCGUUUAUUUCCAAUUGCUGAUUCUGCAGAAUUAACAGCUUGCUUAGCAAAAUAAUUGCACUCUUUCUGUUUGGUUGUGUGUGUGUGUCCAUCUGAAGAGAAUAUAAGUUUAUCCUUUCAAGAGCAACUCCAAAAAUGAGAAGUAUCCAGCCACGUGGACAGUUACAUGCUUCCCCAUACUCUGACAUUUUCCCCUUUCUAUCGAAAGGACCAAUUGCUGGGUUACGGUCCCACAGAUACACAAGACCUUUUGGAUAAACCUACCUUUUGAAUGCCAAUGGAUAAUUUAACUAUGGAAGCAAUUACAGUUCUGAAUUUUGGGAUUUAAUCAGAGAAAAUCACUUGAGUUGGUCUGGGCUAUAAAGUGGCAAAUGUGGUUCAAAAGGACUCUGAUAUUUAUAAAUAUUCCAAAAAAAUUAAAUCAAUUAUAAUAUUAUUAUCAUUAAAGAUAUUUAUGUGAACUUGUAAAAACAAAGAAAACUUGGAUUAAACUUGGUUGGGUCAAAAAACCUUUACUUUGUUCUAAACUUGUUCUCUCUCUGCCACUCCCUCUCAGCCUGUUCUCUCCAUUCAAAUGAAUUAUAUCAACUAUUCUAUCAACAAAAUCACCAAAAUAAAUUCCCAAUAAAAAAAGAUGGAGAAUUUGUUUUAAAUUCACCAUGCUGUCGGUCCCUUUUUGAGUCCAAUGUCAAAACACAGUCCGUAAAUCAGUGGAAAGCUGCAAUUAAGUUCAUGAUCUUUGUAUUUGCACGGAAAUCUUAAACACAAUAGAAAAUUGCUGGUGUUUCCAUCAGCCCAUUGAAUUCCUCUUUUUUUUGCCCUGUAAAAACUCAUUAUGUUUUGAGUUCAGUUUUUAAUAUUUUAAAGCAUAGAAAUUAUUAAUUUAAAAGUCAACAAUUCCUUCCCAAGCUGAAAUAAGAUUCACUCUCGGAAAAUACAAGGUACAGCAUUUAUUUUAAUUUAAAUGAUUCUAAUAUUCAAUAGUUUUUUUCUGCUUGUGUGUUGUAAGCUGUUUAAAACAUCUUUGCCCAUGGCAGUCAAUGACAUCUAAUGUAUGAUUAUUAAUUUCUAAUUAUACAUAUUAGCAUAAAUAUAGGUUGUAAUGUUAUCCUCACUUUUCAAAUAUCCUUGUAUUCAAUACAGGAUAGAAAAUUGUAUUUUUAAUCGAUCCUUUUCAUGUCCCCGGACCAACUGGUUUUGCUGUGCAUUUUGGUUUUGUUGACCUUUGCAGUUUGAGUACUUGUGUGUUGCAGUUAGUAGUUUAUUUCCGCUCGUGGUUGCUCAUUUAUUACCAUCUGAGAAGUACUAAUAUAAAACUGGCGGAUGUGUUUAAUAAAUUUCUGCU